GCAAAGGUAGCCCAACGGCAGAGGCAAUGGACUUAAAAUCCAGUCAGUGUGAGUUCAAAUCUCACUCUUUGCACCA
rnacentral:tRNA from 1 species